rnacentral:rRNA from 2 species
UAGGGAAUCUUCGGCAAUGGGCGAAAGCCUGACCGAGCAACGCCGCGUGAAUGAUGAAGGCCUUCGGGUUGUAAAAUUCUGUUAUAAGGGAAGAACGACUUUAGUAGGAAAUGGCUAAAGUGUGACGGUACCUUAUGAGAAAGCCACGGCUAACUACGUGCCAGCAGCCGCGGUAAUACGUAGGUGGCAAGCGUUAUCCGGAAUUAUUGGGCGUAAAGAGCGCGCAGGUGGUUGAUUAAGUCUGAUGUGAAAGCCCACGGCUUAACCGUGGAGGGUCAUUGGAAACUGGUCGACUUGAGUGCAGAAGAGGGAAGUGGAAUUCCAUGUGUAGCGGUGAAAUGCGUAGAGAUAUGGAGGAACACCAGUGGCGAAGGCGGCUUCCUGGUCUGUAACUGACACUGAGGCGCGAAAGCGUGGGGAGCAAACAGG